UACGGAGGAUGCAAGCGUUAUCCGGAAUUACUGGGCGUAAAGCGUCUGUAGGUGGCUGUGAAAGUCAGAUGUGAAAUCGCGAGGCUUAACCGGGAACGUGCAGCUGAUACUGCAAGACUAGAGUGAUAGAGGGGUAGAGGGAAUUCCCAGUGUAGCGGUGAAAUGCGUAGAUAUUGGGAAGAACACCAGUGGCGAAGGCGCCCUACUGGGCCUUCACUGACGCUGAGGGACGAAAGCGAGGGGAGCGAACGGG
rnacentral:rRNA from 1 species